rnacentral:rRNA from 1 species
GACGAACGCUGGCGGCGUGCUUAACACAUGCAAGUCGAACGGAAAGGCCCUGCUUUUGUGGGGUGCUCGAGUGGCGAACGGGUGAGUAACACGUGAGUAACCUGCCCUUGACUUUGGGAUAACUUCAGGAAACUGGGGCUAAUACCGGCUAGGAGCUCCUGCUGCAUGGUGGGGGUUGGAAAGUUUCGGCGGUUGGGGAUGGACUCGCGGCUUAUCAGCUUGUUGGUGGGGUAGUGGCUUACCAAGGCUUUGACGGGUAGCCGGCCUGAGAGGGUGACCGGCCACAUUGGGACUGAGAUACGGCCCAGACUCCUACGGGAGGCAGCAGUGGGGAAUAUUGCACAAUGGGCGGAAGCCUGAUGCAGCAACGCCGCGUGCGGGAUGACGGCCUUCGGGUUGUAAACCGCUUUCGCCUGUGACGAAGCGUGAGUGACGGUAAUGAGUAAAGAAGCACCGGCUAACUACGUG